AAACCAUGUUGUGGGCAUGAACUGAUAAGAUCCUUGAAUCGCUCUCAACAUUGGAAGAAUGUUUCAUCCUCCUGGGCAAAGUUCAUGAUUGACUUUCUAAGGCU